GACGAACGCUGGCGGCGCGCUCAACACAUGCAAGUCGAACGGAAAGGCCUGCUUUCCCUUGUGGAUUGCGGGUACUCGAGUGGCGAACGGGUGAGUAACACGUGAGUGAUCUGCCCCCAACUUGGGUAUAAGCCUGGGAAACUGGGUCUAAUUCCCGAUAGGACUGCAGGGUGGUGCCUGUGGUGGAAAACGAUUUUCUAGUGGUUGGGGAUGAGCUCGCGGCCUAUCAGCUUGUUGGUGGGGUAAUGGCCUACCAAGGCGGCGACGGGUAGCCGGCCUGAGAGGGUGGACGGCCACAUUGGGACUGAGAUACGGCCCAGACUCCUACGGGAGGCAGCAGUGGGGAAUAUUGCACAAUGGGCGGAAGCCUGAUGCAGCGACGCCGCGUGGGGGAUGACGGCCUUCGGGUUGUAAACUCCUUUCGACCGCGAGGAAGCCACCUGGUUGGAAGGGUGGUGACGGUAGUGGGAGAAGAAGCACCGGCUAACUACGUG
rnacentral:rRNA from 1 species